AUUGAACGCUGGCGGAAUGCUUUACUCAUGCAAGUCGAACGGUAGAGGGGGCAACCCCUCGAGAGUGGCGAACGGGUGAGUAAUAUAUCGGAACGUGCCCAGUCGUGGGGGAUAACGUAGCGAAAGUUACGCUAAUACCGCAUACGAUCUAAGGAUGAAAGCGGGGGAUCGCAAGACCUCGCGCGAUUGGAGCGGCCGAUAUCAGAUUAGGUAGUUGGGGGGGUAAAGGCUCACCAAGCCAACGAUCUGUAGCUGGUCUGUGAGGACGACCAGCCACACUGGAACUGAGACACGGUCCAGACUCCUACGGGAGGCAGCAGGGGGGAAUUUUGGACAAUGGACGCAAGUCUGAUCCAGCCAUUCCGCGUGCAGGAUGAAGGCCCUCGGGUUGUAAACUGCUUUUGUACGGAACGAAAAGGUCUCUCUUAAUACGGGGGGCUCAUGACGGUACCGUAAGAAUAAGCACCGGCUAACUACGUGCCAGCAGCCGCAGUAA
rnacentral:rRNA from 1 species